ACACAGAAGUGGGGCACUGGUCAGAACGUGGCAUGUGCCUUGGGGGUUCUGCUCACACACAUGGAUCAAAACACUGAUGUGAGCAGAGUGUCACACCUUGGCAGCCAAAAUGAAUGUGGCCUCCUCUCCUCUCCUGGAAGCAUCCAAGGGAGGGGAGAAAACCUGCUGAAACAGAAACUCUGCUUUGGUGGGAAGUAACUCGGGAUUCCUGCCAGGCAGAUCCUCCCUGUGUGUUUGUAGCUGAACUCUGCACACAUCUGCAAGGGCUUGCAGUUUAAAAUCUUGUUUCAGUCAUGGAUCAAGUGGGAAUGAGAUCUGCAGUUGCUUUUAAGGUGCUUUUCAAGCUCUGCAUGGAAGUUACCCUUUUACUUCCUCCACACAAUGACUGUAAUGAAUCUGAAAGCCUUCCUGAAUCCAUGCUUUGUCAAUGCCAGUGCGCAUCCAGAGUCAAGCUCCCCGCCAAUGCGCUGGGACAUGUUCUUCAGCACCCCGAUGCUGCCAGAGACCAGCUCCAACUGCUCAUCCUGCUGCUCCACAAUCAGCUGGGGCCAAAGAGAAGGGAAACGGGCAAUUACAGAUCUGCUGCCUAUAGCUGGGUUGGAGCCAGCCCAGCCAGUGGACAGGCACUUGCUGCUCAGCCAGCAUCAGCUGUGAGGCCUGGGCUCAGACCUAAGCCACCAGGAAUGAGGACUGCAUUCCCAAGAAAUGCUGGAGAGGAGACAGCCAAGGGAAAGCCUCCACGGCACAGUGUCCCCAUGGCACAGCAGGCUGCAGCCUCCAGACAUCCCUGUAAAUCCAGCCUGAGGUCAUCCACGCUACACACACAGCUGAAGUGACUUUUCAAAGCUCCAAGAGCUGGUCAUCUAAACCCUUGGCAAGGCUCUUCAGCUGCCAGCAUACAAAGUUACCCUCGCUGCCUGCCCUACAACCUGAACAGAGAAACUUGAGCAAAGCCUGCACAGAUGUGGCUUUCCAGCCAAGUAUGUCUGGUUCCUGAAAAGGGAAUAACUCAAGCUGAAGAAUAAACAUGACUUGCAGAUUACAAGUGCAGACAACAUGAGACUCCUCGAGCUCCUUCCAUCUUCUUACAUGGCUAUUACGAGAAGCAGCUGCAUGAAAGGAUAUUGCACCAUCUUGGCUCCUAAAUCCAGCAGAGCACAGGAUUACAUUCAUUGACAUGUAUUCUGAGCUGGUUCCCCCCUUGAGGAGGAGGAGGAGGAGGAGGAGGAGGAGGAGGGAGAUUUCCCUUUCCAUGGCAUGAUGCAAUGCUGACAGUUGUACACAACCAGCUCUGAAGACAGAGACAGAUGCCAGUGCUUGCAUGGAAGAGUUUGACAUCUGAUCCUUCAUGUCCUGUUUGUUCAACAAAAGAAGCAGCAUGUGAGCAUUGGAUCUGAGGUGACGGGCAGAUUCAGGUGCUACAGGACUGUCUACACCCACCAAGGC